CUCUUCCCAUCUCCAGUCAAUGCCGUUUACCCACUUCUUCUCUUCUCCACCAUCCUCCCCAACUGACUGUCCCCAACUGCCUCCACCCCAACAUUCCACAUUCCUUGGCAACAGUUGUCUAGAACCCAUUGCCUGGCCUCUCCCUAUGACAGUCCUUGGUGUUUAGGUCAUCUGGUCCACAAAAAUGGCAGCAUCCUGACUGAUGGAAACUUGGACACCUACCAUGCAUAGAGGAUGCAAUGGGAUUUCGUGCUAAAGGAUAUGGAAAAAUUAACCCCAAAGAUGACCCAAUGCAUGCAGAAGAAAUGAUUUCCUGAUAACCGAACGAGAGACCUUUGAAAGGAAAGCUAUCUAGAAGAAGCUCCACAGCGUGUGCCGAAAGGUUUACUAGAAAUAUGAGCUACAGGGAUCUAGACAAAAGCAAACCCUUGCUAUGCUGAAUAGUCAGAGCUCAAUGGGAGCCACUGAGAACAAAGCCAGCCCCUAUCUGCACAUCCCAGCCUUGGAUUCUGUUUCUUGGAGAGACAACAGAAUGUGACAGAAUGCCAAGUCCCCGUAUGAAAGGAGAUGGGGAAUCAAGAUGUUACUUUUCAAGUGCUCAAUCACCUAUAGAAAAAUGCAGACAAACAAGGCCACAGGUGCAGAAAAUUGGACCCUUCCUGCUGUUUAUUACAAUGUUGACCUUGGGGAUUUCUCAAGGGAGGGGAGAGAAGAAAAGAAAAGAAAUACAUGCAUGGCAAUAGGAUUCAGUUGAAAUCUUGCCUUCUUUCU